rnacentral:lncRNA from 1 species
CUUACUGAUGAGUUAAGGAAGGACUGAAGACAAAAGAAACUAUGGGCUGCUCUCUCUUUCCCUUUCUUUCUAUGUCACCAUUUUCACUUAAGUGGUUGGUCGAUACAAGGAAUUAACACUAAUGCUAUGUGCAAAUGGGAUAGGAAGAAAUGGCAGCAUGCAUUAUGCACACCUCUCCUCUGCUCAGACUCAAAUUAUCGAAACUUCAGAGGAAAAAUUUAAACUUUCCUACACCAGAAUCAGCUUGAGAGAAGAACCUAGUUGCCACCCCAGCCAGAGGGUUCCUGUGGAAGCCACCAGCACAUUGAGAGAAGGGAAAAUGUGGUUAUUCUGCAUCCAUUUUACUGCAAGGAGAUCGGGGCUGACGUGGCUGGCCAAUUCACAACCUGUCUCUAAUGUAUUCCCAUUUGAGAAACUGAUCAUGGACAGCUAAGUGAAAUGUCUGACUUCUCUCCUGGAGGCUCCCUCACUCUCUUCUGCCAGAAAUGAGACCCGGGGAAAAACAGCGGUAUCAUCUAUAUCCCUGCUAACUUCCUGUACUGCACAUAUUGGAGGACUCAGUCACCGACUUGCCUGUGGUUGCUAUGAGUCGCCUACAGAACUGAAAAUGGGAAGCAGAACUAGGCUGGUUGUACUCCUAACCACAAGGACACUCUCCUCCUCAAAUGAAAAGGCUCUAAUUAAAAGGCAGGAAAGAUCAGGUAUCUCUGGAGUUCACUUUUAAAAUUGUCAAAAAAAACCUCAAAGUC